rnacentral:rRNA from 1 species
GAUUGAGAAGUCUGCUGGAGGUAUCACGAGUGCGAAUGCUGACAUGAGUAACGAUAAGGGGAGUGAAAAACUCCCCCGCCGGAAGACCAAGGUUUUCUGUUCUACGUUAAUCGGAGCAGAGUGAGUCGGCCCCUAAGGCGAGGCGGAAACGCGUAGUCGAUGGGAAACGGGUUAAUAUUCCCGUACCGGAUGUGGUUGCGAUGGGGGGACGAAGAAGGCUAGGUGAGCCAGGCGUUGGUUGUCCUGGUGAAAGCAUGUAGGCCGAGGAAUCAGGCAAAUCCGGUUCCUCUGAGGUCGAGAUGCGAGACGAACUGACUACGGUCAGGAAGUCAUCGAUGCCACGCUUCCAGGAAAAGCCUCUAAGCUUCAGAUCACAUGCGACCGUACCCCAAACCGACACAGGUGGUCAGGUAGAGAAUACCAAGGCGCUUGAGAGAACUCGGGUGAAGGAACUAGGCAAAAUGGCACCGUAACUUCGGGAGAAGGUGCACCGGUUCGAGUGAAGGACUUGCUCCGUAAGCUCUUACCGGUCGAAGAUACCAGGUGGCUGCAACUGUUUAUUAAAAACACAGCACUCUGCAAACGCGCAAGCGGACGUAUAGGGUGUGACGCCUGCCCGGUGCCGGAAGGUUAAUUGAUGGGGUUAGGAUUCGUCCGAAGCUCUUGAUCGAAGCCCCGGUAAACGGCGGCCGUAACUAUAACGGUCCUAAGGUAGCGAAAUUCCUUGUCGGGUAAGUUCCGACCUGCACGAAUGGCGUAAUGAUGGCCACGCUGUCUCCACCCGAGACUCAGUGAAAUUGAAAUCGCAGUGAAGAUGCUGUGUACCCGCGGCUAGACGGAAAGACCCCGUGAACCUUUACUAUAGCUUUACACUGGAUGCUGAUGUUGUCUGUGUAGGAUAGCUGGGAGGCUUUGAAACCACGUCGCCAGAUGCGGUGGAGCCAACCUUGAAAUACCAGCCUGACAUCAUUGGCGUUCUAACUCAGGUCCGUUAUCCGGAUCGAGGACAGUGUAUGGUGGGUAGUUUGACUGGGGCGGUCUCCUCCUAAAGAGUAACGGAGGAGCACGAAGGUACCCUCAGCACGGUUGGAAAUCGUGCAUUGAGUGCAAGAGCAUAAGGGUGCUUGACUGCGAGACAGACACGUCGAGCAGGUACGAAAGUAGGUUCUAGUGAUCCGGUGGUUCUGUAUGGAAGGGCCAUCGCUCAACGGAUAAAAGGUACUCCGGGGAUAACAGGCUGAUACCGCCCAAGAGUUCACAUCGACGGCGGUGUUUGGCACCUCGAUGUCGGCUCAUCACAUCCUGGGGCUGAAGUCGGUCCCAAGGGUAUGGCUGUUCGCCAUUUAAAGUGGUACGCGAGCUGGGUUUAGAACGUCGUGAGACAGUUCGGUCCCUAUCUGCCGUGGGCGUCGGAAGUUUGAGAAGAGCUGCUCCUAGUACGAGAGGACCGGAGUGGACGAACCUCUGGUGUUCGGGUUGUCAUGCCAAUGGCAUUGCCCGGUAGCUACGUUCGGACGGGAUAACCGCUGAAAGCAUCUAAGCGGGAAGCCCCCUUCAAGAUGAGACUUCCCUGAGGCCUUGCGCCUCCUGAAGGGCCCUUGAAGACUACAAGGUUGAUAGGCUGGGUGUGGAAGCACAGCAAUGUGUUGAGCUAACCAGUACUAAUUGCCCGUGAGGCUUGACCAU